rnacentral:tmRNA from 1 species
GGGGGUGAUCUUUGGCUUUGACACUAAGAAUAUGUUGUAUGCGCUGUACCGAGACUGCUCUAGCACUCGUUAACGUUAGAGCGCCCAUGUUGCAAAAACAACUGGUAAGGCUAUUCCAUCGCCAUACGCGUUUGGUCUAGUUCCUGCGUUCGCCUAAAUACUGGCCGACCGGGUGUCCUUCUUUUUCGUAACCACGGAAAAAGUCUGGGCAAUAUAACAGUGGAAGUAGAUUGUAAUGUUGCAUAGCAUUACUAUUGAAAUAAUUCAUGCUAUACAUUCAUUGUUUUCGUUUGUUUUCUAUAAUGCAUGCGAACACAUAUAAGCAAACUACGUACAGUAGACCCAUGCAUCAUACCUUAGUACACGGGGGUUCGAUUCCGCCCACCUCCACUA